GCUUGUAAGCGCUCUCCCUCCACUUCGCGCUUGAGGGAGGUGCGAGGGUACCGCGCUGGAAUCCCCGGCUCGGCCGAGGUAUGACCCAAAUGAUCCAGGUGUGAGCCAUGGAGGAAAGUAAGAAUGCCCAAACCACAAAGAUGACAUCUGCCAUCCUUUCUGUCCUUUUUCUACUGCUGGAGAAGAAAAUGCAUGUGUCUGCCUGAGUGUUAUCAGAACAGUGGACAUCCUCCUUGUUGUAGAUGAGUAAUUGGUGCCUGGGGGAAGGAUGCUGUUGCUUUUGAAGCCUUUCAGUGAGAGAUACCAGAAUCUACACACAGAAUAAACUGAGAAGAAUGGUCUUUUCAAUCAUA